ensembl:lncRNA
CUGAAAGCAGUGGUGAGGAGGAACGUCCUGGCAUGUGGUUUCAGCCCCGUGGUGGGUGUGACUGGAGCAGGACAGAGACUGUGGGUGUGGUCACAGUCAGGGGCGUGGCUGUAGCCGAGGAGGGGGGCUGUAGGCGUGGCUGUCAGCCUCAGCAGCCCCCAGUUACUGUGGGACUGACUGGCCUCAGCUUAGUAACCCCAUGGCAGGACUCCAGAUGGUGUCCUUGGGCCCCAAACAGAUAGAACUAGAGCCAAAGGUGUGGAGAAGGCAAUGGCACCCCACUCUAGUACUCUUGCCUGGAAAAUCCCAUGGACGGGGGAGCCUGGUAGGCUACAGUCCAUGGGGUCGCUAGGAGUUGGACACGACUGAGCAACUUCACUUUCACUUUUCACCUUCAUGCGUUGGAGAAGGAAAUGGCAACCCACUCUAGUGUUCUUGCCUGGAGAAUCCCAGGGACGGGCGAGCCUGGUGGGCUGCCGUCUAUGGGGUCGCACAGAGUCAGACACGACUGAAGCAACUGACGUAGCAGCAGCAGCAGAGCCAAAGGUGAGGAAACAGAAGUUCAGAAACGUGCUUCAAGAAUCUUAGGUUUAUAAUCGAACAUAAUCAGCCAAAAUGAGCAAAACAAGAGAUGGAGAAAAGUUUGCCAAUAUUUCGAAAUGAGCUAAGAGAAACAGGAACUUGGAAACCGUUAGCUUUGUGUCUGCCCUGUAAUUUUCUAAGUUAGGAUAACGUGAAUCCGUGGCUCCUAUUGAACUGAAUGGUUCAUGCGCCGGAUUGAAGGCAGUGACACUGCUUUCCAUACUCAUCACUUGCUAUCCUUAUUUGCGAACACUCUGUUUUCCGAUCUCACAGCCACACUUCUCAUUCUCUUCUCAAUUUGUAGCCGGUGCUUCUAUCUUAUUAGGUCCAUUUGUGAGAGCUCAGAGCAGUGGUGAUGAAGGGAGGCACCUGCUCUGCAAAUAGAGCACGAUCUCACUUUAGACUGAGAGCCUGCCUCUACCUGGGGGUGGACAGGGUAGGUGGCUAGCUGUCUGUAGUCUCUCCUUUCUCUCCUGGGCAAAACUUUCUCAGAAUCAUUGGGAUUAUCAGCUGAUGGCAAUACAAGGAAAUGAGGGCAGAAGGAAUGAAAAAGAGCCUAAG